AGAGCACUCCUACGGGAGGCAGCAGUGGGGAAUAUUGCACAAUGGGGGAAACCCUGAUGCAGCCAUGCCGCGUGUGUGAAGAAGGCCUUCGGGUUGUAAAGCACUUUCAGUAGGGAGGAAGGUAGUGUAGUUAACACCUGCAUUAUUUGACGUUACCUACAGAAGAAGCACCGGCUAACUCCGUGCCAGCAGCCGCGGUAAUACGGAGGGUGCGAGCGUUAUCCGGAUUUAUUGGGUUUAAAGGGUCCGUAGGCGGAUUAAUAAGUCAGUGGUGAAAUCCCAUCGCUUAACGAUGGAACUGCCAUUGAUACUGUUAGUCUUGAAUGAGGGUGCAGUGGUUGGAAUGUGUAGUGUAGCGGUGAAAUGCAUAGAUAUUACACAGAACACCGAUUGCGAAGGCAGAUCACUAACCCUAAAUUGACGCUGAGGGACGAAAGCGUGGGGAGCGAACAGGAUUAGAUACCCUGGUAG
rnacentral:rRNA from 1 species